UGUGUAGGCUUUGCGUGUGUGUACAUGCAAGCGAGGGAGCGAGAGGCAAAGCAAGCGCGCGCGUGCGGAGGAGUCUCCCGCGAGGCUCGCCGAAGCCCAGCGCAGCAGGCGGGUGCCGGAGUCCGGCCGCGGGGCAUGGAGAGCCUGCUGGAGAAUCCGGUGCGCGCCGUGCUCUACCUGAAAGAGCUCACCGCCAUCGUCCAGAACCAGCAGAGCCUCAUCCACACCCAGCGCCAGCGCAUCGACGAGCUGGAGAAGCGCCUGGACGAGCUCAGCACCGAGAACCGCAGCCUCCGCGAGCAGUACGCGCUCCCGGCGGAAACCCCGCCGCCGCUGCAGCCGAGGGUUCCCCCUGCUGCCUCCUUGCCUUGCCGAGCUCCGCCUCAGGGCCAGCAGCAGCCGCCGCUGGCGGCGGCGGCUCAGCAGGAGGAGUUUCAGCACCACCAACAGCUCCCGGCGCUCCAGCCGCCGCCGCCGCCGCGGCAGCCGCCUCCACCACCACCUCCCAGCAGUAGCAAGCAGGCUCAGGCCGGCCCCAGCGGUACCCGGACGCCGGUCUCACACCAGCACCCUUCCCUUCAGCCCCACCAGCAUCACCACGAGGAUAGCCGGGAAAAGAGCUGUUGCCCUGCUCUCCUUCAGCACAAAAGCCCCCCAGCCCUCGGCAAAGGCGUCUUAGUCAGAAGGCUAGAGAAUGAGACUGUUUUACACCAAUUCUGCUGCCCGGCUGCGGAUGCAGAGCAAAAGCCUUCGUCUGCAGACUCUUCUUCAAGUGAUGAUCCCUGCGGUUCAGCCAGCAAGAAAACCGGGUGUGACGUGGAGGAACCGAAGGAGUCCGGCAGAGGCAGUGGCCAGGAAGGCAGGUCCGACACCUUGAAGUUAAAAGCCCAGCAUGAGGAGCGGCAGGAAGAGCAGGCAGCGGGGUCCUCCCUUUUGGUGCAGAAGGCCAGCCUCCACCACACAGGUUCCCCCGUGAGAGGGCAGCGCAGCAAAGGGGCAGCUACCUGUUCCCAUGCAGCUGCAUCCAAUUAUGAGCUCUCCCUUGACUUAAAGAAUAAACAGAUCGAAAUGCUAGAGCACAAAUAUGGGGGCCACUUGGUCUCUCGGAGAGCAGCCUGCACAAUUCAGACUGCCUUCCGCCAGUACCAGCUCAGUAAAAACUUUGAGAAGAUCCGGAACUCUCUACUGGAGAGCCGCAUGCCCCGGCGAAUUUCCUUGAGGACACUCCGUGUCCAGAACUCUGAAAAUUUCUCUGCUGAGAAAGCCUUGGUAGAAGGCUAUAACUUUGUUGGCAUCCCCUUGGUAAGAUCUCCCUCUUUGCCAGUAACCAUUAGUGGGGCACUGACCGAGCUGGAAGACUCUUUCACUGAGCAAGUUCAAUCUUUGGCCAAAUCCAUUGACGAUGCGCUCAGCACAUGGAGCCUGAAAACCAUGUGUUCCCUGCAAGAUGGAAGUUCCUAUCAGAUAAGAGAGACCUUCAGUACGAGCUCCAUGCAACCAAACCAAGACUUGGACAUGGAACUGAAGGAACAAGAGAAGGAGGAAGGGUUGCUGCCGGACACAUUACCAAAGAGCAGCAGCACGCUCAUGAUGGCCUUCAGGGAUGUCACCGUCCAAAUAGACAACAAAAAUAUCUCUGUCUCCUCAUCUACCUCAGUGUCUAUGGCAAACUGCCUGGCUAACAGUAGCCAGGCUGGGAUUUCUUCAGCUGCCAAAAUAGAAGAAAUCCCAGUGGAAGGGGAGAAAGAGGAUAAAGAUCUUCAAGUUGUUUCAGAAGGGCAGCCUGAUGCUGGAGCCCUCCAGAAUAGUCACCCAGUAACUGAGGCGAAUCUCAACACGAACGGUUUGGAGAAAGGGGAGGCUGAGCAAGACCAAAUGAUGAUGCCAAAACUUGACUUUGGCUCUGAAAAUGGGACUGGGCAGCACAAGGGAUCAGAAGCUGAAAAUGUAGAUAAUUUGGAACAACUGAGCAGUAGCAGUACAUCCACCUCAGCUAAGUCUGCUUCAGAGUUAUCCUCAAAGGAAGCCCUGCAAGCCAUGAUUUUGAGCCUGCCACGGUAUCACUGUGAGAAUCCAGCCGUCUGCAAAUCACCCACACUUUCUACAGACACCAUGAGGAAACGGCUGUACCGCAUUGGGCUGAAUCUCUUUAACAUAAAUCCAGACAAAGGGAUCCAGUUCCUGAUCUCUCGAGGCUUCAUACCAGAUACGCCAAUUGGAGUGGCCCAUUUCCUGUUGCAGCGUAAGGGGCUCAGCCGACAAAUGAUCGGGGAGUUUCUGGGAAACAGCAAGAAACAAUUCAACCGGGAUGUCCUGGACUGUGUAGUGGAUGAGAUGGACUUCUCUGGGAUGGAGCUUGAUGAAGCUUUGCGGAAAUUUCAAGCCCAUAUCCGGGUGCAGGGAGAAGCCCAGAAAGUGGAACGACUAAUUGAAGCCUUCAGCCAGAGGUACUGCAUGUGCAAUCCAGAUGUAGUCCAACAGUUCCAUAAUCCAGAUACCAUUUUCAUAUUGGCUUUUGCCAUCAUCCUUCUUAAUACGGAUAUGUACAGUCCUAACAUUAAACCUGACAGGAAGAUGAUGCUGGAGGACUUCAUUCGGAACCUGAGAGGAGUGGAUGAUGGAGCUGACAUUCCCCGUGACUUGGUGGUGGGAAUUUAUGAAAGGAUUCAGCAGAGAGAGCUCAAAUCCAAUGAGGACCAUGUAACUUAUGUCACCAAAGUAGAAAAAUCAAUUGUUGGAAUGAAAACGGUGCUGUCUGUGCCUCAUCGCCGUUUGGUCUGUUGUAGCCGCCUUUAUGAAGUGACCGACGUGAACAAAGUGCAGAAACACGCUGCCCACCAGAGGGAAGUUUUUCUCUUCAAUGACCUGCUGGUGAUUCUCAAGCUUUGCCCCAAGAAGAAAAGCUCCUCAACCUACACAUUUUGCAAGUCAGUCGGCCUCUUAGGAAUGCAGUUCCAUCUAUUUGAGAAUGAAUACUAUCCCCAUGGUAUCACUUUGGUGAUUCCAGUUUCAGGCUCAGAGAAGAAACAGGUGCUUCAUUUCUGUGCCCUAAAUGCUGAAGAAAUGCAAAAAUUUGUGGAAGAUCUCAAAGAAUCAAUAGCAGAGGUGAUGGAGCUAGAACAGAUUCGAAUUGAAUAUGGGAGCUGGAAAAACAGCAUGGGGCAAAGAAUCUUUCCUUAAAAACCAAUGGGGCUCAGAUGGAAAUGCAAUACAAGCAAGGAUCUCCAGCAGGCAAAAAAGAUUUAGGAGAAAAAGGCCCGGAGAACACAGUGGAGGUAAGUAGAAUGUGCAGCAGUGGAGGUAAGUAAUUCUCCCUCAGUCAAGCCCUUCUUACAUUCUCUGUUAUUUCUUUUCUCAGGUUUUAAUCAAUGCCUCCCCUGCCAGACUGACAAUUUUACCAAUUUCCAGAGAUACAAUAAAAAGUUACUGCUAGGACGGGUAAUACAACUUUCAAAUCCAGAUUAAACGUCAAAGCAUUUUUUUCAAGCCGUUUCUCUAAUUGUUAAUACAUCCUUCAUGGAGCCAGCGGCCGAACUCUGGAAACUAACCUGCUCCUUCCUCAUCCCCACCCAGCACCCUUUCAGGAGAAAUCAGAGACAGAGCUGAGAUGAACUCUUUGGCAGGUCCCUAUCAUUGCCUAGAAUCUCCCCAAUCCUCACUGCUCACCUGGUCUUUUCCUCAUAGCUCUUCUGCCCAAGGCUGGGCAAGAUUCACUGGGGAGGGGGGAUUGGAAGAUUAGACCAAAUGUUCCCCAACCUGGAAGGGAUUGCUGGCCAAUAUGGUAUUGCUUUCCUUAUAUGAAGACAGAUCUCCACAGCAAGACCCGUUCCCAGGACCCCAGUUCACCAGGAAAACCCUCCUCAUUCAGCAGCAUCUCCCUUUCUCUGGAGGUGCCACAACUACCUCUAAGGGAGGGAAUACAUUUCUCCACCAGUAUUAAUUAUCUUCACCAGCCUCUAAACUGACACCAAGCUCCAUCACCUUAUAAUUACUUGGUUUCAUCCUUAUUAUCCAAGUUUGUGCCCUUCAGUUUUCUCUUCUGCAGCCUUUGAGAAAUCAGCCACUCUGGGCCUACUUGUUGCUCAGGCCAUGCUUCUCAUAAAGUGCUUCAUAAAAACUAACUCAUUACUCUGGCAGCAUGGCUGCUAAUGCCCUACAGGAAUGGGCGUCUCCAUUUUGAGUCAAAACAGACACCUCUUCAUGGAGAAAUAUUCAUUUCAGAAUCCCAAGAAAGCUAUUCAUAAAGCUUUGUCCUGGUUGGAAUUCCAGAAUUAGGCAGAUAGGGCCCCUUAUCUGCCACUGCUCCACCACAAAAGGAACCUCAUUCUCCAACUCCUUGUUGACCCUUACUCUCCCGAGUCUACUGGGUAGCUGUGCUUCUUUGAAACUCUUUCUUUUAAACUUUUAUUUAUAGAUUCCCUAAAUUCCUUCCAUAGGGAACGCCAUCUUAGUUGCUGUUUACAGACUGAACUUGAAGAAUUCUUUGGGGUCCUCACUGCAGAUACUUCAAGCCUUCUUCCUCCCCUUCCCUCCUUAGCAGAAACAAGCAUCUCCAUUUUCUCUGAGAUUUACCUGAUCUGCUGCCAUUUCAUCAGAUUUAUUUUCUUUUCAAUCAUUGUAUAAACUGGAUGGGUACUUUUUUUUUUUCCUUUUGGGGGCAGAUUUAAAAACCAUUUCCUUUCGCUUGCCAACCAUUGAGUGGAUCAGAGCGAGCUGCAAGUUUGCUGAAAGAUGUCAGAUUUGUGCUUGGUUCCCCCCCCCCAGUUCCCUUUUUAAUUUUCUCCUUUUGUAAAUAGGGUAAUGAGUCAUGUGUGCCACUUUCCUGCUCAGAAAGACAAGAGCUAGGAAGAGCUCAGGUCUUUCCUUGAAUGUCAGCAAAUCUCAUCUCCUCUCCCCUCCCACAAAGAUGUACAACCUCAAUUAUCCUUUCUUCUUUCUGCCUUGUUAGCAUAUAGACUGUAAGAUGAUGAUGAUGUAAGAGUUUCUGAGCACUUCAGUCAUAAAGCACAGCUUAUCUGAAAACAGGCCUGCAUUAAGCAGAAUUUGGAAAAACUUUAUUCCCCCUUGCCUUUUUUCCAAGCAAAAGACAAAUAGGGGCCUAAAAAAAAUAUCUAAGGGAACAUUUAAAACUCUGAGUAACAAGAUGUUUUUGAUAGCACGAGAGUUGUCAUGCCUUCAGCAUCUAUUGUGUCAAUGUUUUUCACUUGCUCUGGGUGCCACUUGUAUUGACUCCAUCUGGAUGGUUGAGGUUGUGCUGUCUGUGGGUAUAGCAUUACUGCCUUUGCUAUUAUGAGGCUCAAGAAGGAAGCCCUGGGGAAGGUGCAGCUGUGGGAAUGGGAGAAUGAGGGGGUCAAAGGAGGGGUGGGGUGGGAGAUUUUGGAGCAGUGCUUAAGCUGGGCUAUGGCUUUUGGAGAAAGAUUUGGAGGUGGGGUGGGUGAAGGGCAGCCUGCAGGAGCAGCUGGGAAAAAGUUUUGUAACAUUUAAUGCUUCUCUGACUGUUUCUAAACUAGGUGUCAAUUCACAACAGGCUUCAAACGUACCAGCACAACUCUCUCCCGGGGCUCGAGAGUGGAGUGGAGCCCAGCACACAUCCUAAUGUGGCACGGGAAAGGCUGGAGGCAGCAUUGGCACCCUCUUACCCUGCCUCA